rnacentral:rRNA from 1 species
GUGCAGCAGUCGCGAAACUUUACAAUGUGCGAAAGCACGAUAAGGGAACUCUGAGUGCCUCCUAAGGAGGCUGUUCAGGUGUCUAAAAGCACCUGGAGUAAGGGCUGGGUAAGACCGGUGCCAGCCGCCGCGGUAACACCGGCAGCCCAGGUGGUAGCCACUUUUAUUGGGUCUAAAGCGUCCGUAGCCGGUUGAGUAAGUUCCUUGGGAAAUUUGGCUGCUCAACAGUCAAGCUUCCAGGGAAUACUGCUCGACUUGGGGACUGGGAGAGGUCAGAGGUACUCCAGGGGUAGGGGUGAAAUCCAUUAAUCCCUGGGGGACCACCGGUAGCGAAGGCGUCUGACCAGACCAGGCCCGACGGUGAGGGACGAAGGCUAGGGUCGCGAACCGGAUUAGAUACCCCCGUAGU